GGAUUCUUGGAGGGAAUCGUUGCGCUUCAAGGCGAAGUAUGAAACGAGAAAGAUAAAGAUACAGCGUGGGGAAAUUGUGCCUACCAAAAGGACUCGCAAAAGUACAUUGACCAGUGGCGAGACAACGACAAAAAAAAUGAAUAUACCUACUGCUGUUAUUGAAGCGUGGGAUGGCGAUGAUCAGAGCAGCAUCAGAAGCCACAUCGCUUCCAUGAAAAAGGAGCUUCUGAAACCAAGGGCUAACUUUUCAUAUGUCAAAGAGUGCAUGUUACGGACAUUCAGAACUCGACGGGACUGGAAUGAAAAUGAGUGCCCAUCAAUCCAGGCUAUCAGAGAUGAAUAUCCAGCUCUAAAUUUAGGCGCCAUGAUUUGAUUUGCUGCCCUGUCUCGUUAACGAGCGCAAGGAAGCGUUUUGGACAAUUGGCAGGAGCACUGCGCACAGAGUGCCUACCGUGAUAUGCAGUGUUUUUGAAUGGGAUUCGAAACCCCUUACCAUCUGUCUUGAGGAUAUUGUAUUUAAAGAGAAAACGCUGCCAGAAGCCCUGUCAACAUUGUUCACCCUUUAUUGGGCGUUCGACAUCGUGUUUGCAAAAGGGGUGCACAAAACCCUGGAAGUCAUCCCUAUACUUUUGGAUGUACCAAGCAACGCGGACAUUUCACCACUAGCACGUGCUGCGUACACAGUGUUAAAAGCAUGCUUCAAUUAGGAAUUAACCAUGUCAUUGCAUACAUUCAUAUUUGUAUAAGUGUCUUCUGUUAAAGACAUAAGUAUUGCUUUAUUUACCUAUUUGUUGGCCACGCGCGCAUUUUA